UGGGGAAUUUUGCACAAUGGGGGACACCCUGAUGCAGCGACGCCGCGUGAUUUAGAAGGCCUUCGGGUUGUAAAAAUCUUUUCUAUGGGAAGAAAAUGACAGUACCAUAGGAAUAAGGACCGGCUAAUUACGUGCCAGCAGCCGCGGUAAUACGUAAGGUGCGAGCGUUGUCCGGCAUCAUUGGGCGUAAAGGGUACGUAGGCGGGUAAGCAAGUUAGAAGUGAAAUCCUAUAGCUCAACUAUAGUAAGCUUUUAAAACUGCUCAUCUUGAGGUAUGGAAGGGAAAGUGGAAUUCCUAGUGUAGCGGUGAAAUGCGCAGAUAUUAGGAGGAGUACCGGUGGCGAAGGCGACUUUCUGGCCAUAACCUGACGCUGAGGUACGAAAGCGUGGGUAGCAAACAGG
rnacentral:rRNA from 1 species